UCUCACCCUGUAGCUCAUUUUUCAAUAGUAUUUACAUUUCCGGAAAGCUAACGAAAUUACCCUUGUUGUCAUUUAAAUUUCGUCAAAUUUGGAGUUACGAUGUGUUUGGUAGUCGAUGUUGAAUUUAAAGGUCAUAAGUAAAUUACUGCAAAAUUAGGAAUUGGACAGACCUUCACUAAAACUGUAAUUAAUCUCUCUUUGUAACUCCAAAUUUAGUGGGGUUUAAUCCUGUGGAAAGCUAACUCGAU
rnacentral:lncRNA from 1 species